rnacentral:rRNA from 1 species
AUGGUGCUGGUGAAGAUGUUGAUGGAGACUGAUCCCCUCCUGAUGAGAGGAUCGAUGGUGAUGACGAUGGUAAUGAUUUCCUCCUCCCGGAGGGAUGCUUCCUCGGCAGAACAGCUCCAUUGGAGCCCUAGAUUGGUUCCGCCAAGGUUCCGCAUCGUGGCGGCGGAGAUUCUUCCCGAAAGCUUGCUUAUGAUUUUUUUUCCAGGGCAAAAGACUUCAUAUAGCCAAAGAUGGGCACCGGAGGCCUGCCAGGGGGCCCACGAGGCAGGGGGCGCGCCCAGGGGGGUAGGGCGCGCCCCCACCCUCGUGGAUGGUGGGUGGCCCCCUUCUGGUGCUUCCUUCGCCAAAUAUUUUUUAUAUAUUCUAAAACUAACUUCUGUGAAGUUUCAGGACUUUUGGAGUUGUGCAGAAUAG